GCCGAAGUAGCUCAGUAGGUAGAGCAUCUGGCUGUUAACCAGAGGGUCGUAGGUUCAAGUCCUACUUUCGGCG
rnacentral:tRNA from 2 species